rnacentral:rRNA from 1 species
UACCAGCACCCCGAGUGGUCGGGACGAUUAUUGGGCCUAAAGCAUCCGUAGCCGGUCCUGCAAGUCUUCCGUUAAAUCCAGCUGCUCAACAGAUGGGCUGCGGGGGAUACUACAGGGCUAGGAGGCGGGAGAGGCAAGCGGUACUUUAUGGGUAGGGGUAAAAUCCGUUGAUCCAUAGAAGACCACCAGUGGCGAAGGCGGCU